UAAUACUUCGGAAAAAGAACC
rnacentral:piRNA from 1 species